rnacentral:lncRNA from 1 species
CCCGGCUCUGUGUAAAUAGCGGGAUUCAUACCUGUGAUGCUGUACUCUUUAUCGAAGCCUCGAACUGGGUAAAGCCUCCAACUUUCUUAUUUCUUCUCACUGGGCUUCGAUCAAUCGAAAUACUGAUCAAAAUUCCCAAAUUUAUUUCUUUGCUGCUGUAAACUCGGUGUGGCAAUUGGACGAAUUUUUGUUGCGGCAACUCGUCAAUCAGCUGGUAUGACCCCUUUUUUUUUUUGGCCUUAGUUGUUCCGGUCUCCACCAAGCUUUUCACCGCCAAGACAUCAUUUUGUUUGAUAUAUUUUCUCGGUGGCUUUAGGGCGGCUUGUUUGGAAAUGUUUGCAAGGCCAACUUUUAUCGUGGUGAAUGGGAAGGCAGAAGGCUGGAAAGCUCUUCGGUGGUGACUGAUAUUGCCGAUUUUGUAAGAGAGUGAAUGUGGCGUCUUGUGCAGAUUUUUAGCAUUGGAACUCGACCGUUCAUGAACGACCAUAUGUUCCAACACUGAAAAUCACAGUAGCCAAGUGCGUUAAGACUCCGGCCGUUCAUGAACGACCAUAUAUGUCUUAACGCAGGAGCAGCCACAGUGAAGGUUGGCCGUUCAUGAACGACCAUGUACUUCUUGGUAGGUUGAGAGAACUUCAACAAACGAAGGAAGGUUGUUUUGUUGACAGCAAGCUUUCUGGACGGUAUAUUUCCCUGUCAAAGAAGACGAGAAUAGCAUAGAUGCGUUGUAUACCUGAGCUUCACCUUUGGAGCUUGACUUGUUGACGGAUCUGCUUUGAUUUCACUUUCUGUUUUGGCAGAGCUUUACCUUUUUGCUUGCUGAAUAUUUCUCUCUCCCUCUUGCUCCGUCCCUUUCUUUUCACGUUGCCACCUUUAUAUAAGGGUGGUUGGAUAAGUGUAGCCGGAUAGCUGGUAACCCACCUUGUAUUUGAAUUUGAAUAACAAGCUCAACUUUAUCACUUGUUAUCUGUUGAAUAGGUCAAAAAAACUUGACCAAGACUUGAAUCAAGGUUAACAGAACAUUAUCCUUUAUAGCUU